rnacentral:rRNA from 1 species
UGAUGCAGCCAUGCCGCGUGUAGUGAUGAAGGCCUUCGGGUUGUAAGCUCUUUCGUCUGUGAUGAUAGUGACGGUAUUAGGUAAAGAAUCCCCUGAUAUUUCCGUGCCAACAACCGCGGGAUUACUCCGGGCGUUAGCGUUGUUCAAUAUUAAUGGGGGUAACGCUCAUCUAAGUUACUGGGCGUAUUGCGCAUGAAAUCGCUUGGUUCAACCCUAUGUCUGCCUUUAGGACUCAACCUCUGAAUUUCAUUUGAGGUUGGUGGAAUUCAGAGUGUAAAAGUGAAGUUCAAUUUCAUGUGUAGGAAUGAAAUGGGUAAAGAUCUGACAGAGUACCGGUGGCGAAGGCGGCCCCCUGGACUGAGACUGACACUCAGAUGCAAAAGCGCGGGGAGCCCACACGAUUAAAUACCCUGGUAAUCCACGCCGUAAACUAUGUCUACUUGGAGGUUGUGACCUUGAACCCUGUCUUUCUGAGCUAACCCGUUACAUAAACCGCCUGGGGAGAACUUGACCGAGAUUAAAACUCAAAGGAAAUUGACGG